CACCACCAGGCCUGUCGGCUAGUCCACCACCACCAGGCCUGUCGGCUUGUCCUCCACCACCAGGCCUGUCGGCUAGUCCUCCACCACCAGGCCUGUCGGCUAGUCCUCCACCACCAGGCCUGUCGGCUAUUCCACCAUCACCCAGAGCAUUUCUCCUUUACCAAGAUAAUCCAUGCACCUGACAGGUGUGGUAUAUCAAGACCCUGAUUAAUAAACAACAUGGCAUACCAGUGGAGGAAUACCAAACGUUGUUUUUAUACUCAGAGGACUAUUAUUAGCAUGUUUUAACCACUCCUAUAUUGUCACGACUUCCGCCGAAGUUGGUGCCUCUCGGUGCUUGGGCGGCGUUCGGCGGUCGACAUCACCGGCUUUCUAGCCACCACCGAUCUACGUUUCUUUUCCUAUGUGUUUUGUCUUGAUUGCACACACCUGGUUUCCAUUAUGUCAUCAGAUUAUCAGGUAGAUUAUCGGACAUAGUGUUCGAUUUCAUUAUUACUGAAACAGGAUCCAAGUGGUAUUGUUAAUGGGAUUUAUCUGUUAAUUGAAUGAUUAGAAUAUUCCACCCUGAAACCAUAUAAUUGUAUGGAGUUGAUUAGAAUGUAUAAAAUUAUAACCAAUAAAUGUGUAGUUCUAGUCAGAAUUAGGGUAAAACAAUAUAGCUAAUGUUUAUGUCUUUAAAGUGUCUUAAAAACAGACUGUCUGAGCAGAAUUCGGUGCCGACCUUGGCUAGGGGCCACUGAGAGAUUUGCGAAAGAACAGGGAGUGAUUCUCACGGUCCCUAAUCUUUGUCGGCUGGGUAGCAGGACAUUAUGUACUAAUGUUAGUGUGAAUGUGUGGGCGUGAGAAGCCAGUAUAAAAUUAAUUGUUUUGUACAACAGAGGAGCGCUCUCGUAAAUAAACUUUCUGACUAUUGUA